rfam:Dipodomys ordii contig_36616, whole genome shotgun sequence.
UGGCUCAGUGGUAGAGCGCUUGCCUUGCAUGCAUGAGGCCUUGGGUUCAAUUCCUCA